AAGAGAGAGACAUGCGCGCAUAUCAAUAAGCGGAGGAAAAGAAACUAACAAGGAUUCCCCUAGUAACGGCGAGUGAAGCGGGAAGAGCUCAAAUUUGAAAUCUUAAAGGGUUUCCCUUUACGAAUUGUAGUUUAAAGAAGUGUUUUCUGUUGAGGUUUUGGUAAAAGUUCUUUGGAAUAGGACAUCAUAGAGGGUGAGAAUCCCGUAUUUGACCUUUACUUUCAACUUUGUGAUACACUUUCAAAGAGUCGGAUUGUUUGGGAAUGCAGUCCAAAAUGGGUGGUAAAUUUCAUCUAAAGCUAAAUAUUGGCGAGAGACCGAUAGCGAACAAGUACCGUGAGGGAAAGAUGAAAAGAACUUUGAAAAGAGAGUUAAACAGUACGUGAAAUUGUCAAAAGGGGAAGCGUUUGACACCAGUGUUGUUUUUCUGAAAAUCAAUUAAAGAACUGUUUAUGCUAAGUUGUUUAGACUUUAUCAGCUAACUGUUUAGUUUUGAGCUUUUCUUUAAUGCACUUUUCAGUUAACAAGUCAACAUCAAUUUCUUUUGCUGUAAAAAAGCUUGAGGAAGGUGGCUUGAGAUUCGUCUUAAGUGUUUAUAGCCUCUUGCCUAUGCAGUCGGAGAGAUUGAGGUCUGCAGCGUAGAUCCUUCGGGGCUAAAUGCAUUUGUGCUAAGUUAUAGCAUUUUAUAGACAACUUGUUGACUAUGAUUUGUCUUGUAGCUUACUCGCUUAUGUUAUUUUACCUACGCUUAGGAUGUUGAGCGCAUGUCUCUCUCU
rnacentral:rRNA from 1 species